AAUCAUCGAAUCUUUGAACGCACAUUGCGCCCCUUGGUAUUCCGGGGGGCAUGCCUGUUCGAGCGUCAUUACACCUCUCAAGCUCCGCUUGGUAUUGGGCCCCGUCCCCCCUGAGGGACGGGCCCGAAAGUGAGUGGCGGU
rnacentral:rRNA from 1 species